rnacentral:lncRNA from 1 species
CGGGUGCGUCACCUCUGUGGUAUUGUGGGCAAUCACGGUUUUGGCAAGCUCACUGGAAUCAAGUGAGGUGAGAAUAUCGAUCUUCCAGACACCUAUUUCUUCUUGCAAAUUUCGAAAAGGGAGGUUGAGACAUCAUUUCCAUUUCCCUAUUUCUCUAAUCUGUAGGGCAGUGAGAUAACGAUGAAUGUGGCAGCGAGAAAUGAUGGUUCUCCUGAUCUUCCUUUCUGUGGUAUCUUCUAAGGCAUCCCUGAUAUGUCUCUUUUUGGUUCUUAAAUUAUUCUUGCUAUGAAUAGUUCAUCUCCUAAAUAUAUCUUAAUUGUGUUUGUCUCUAGGAGCGCGACAUCGUAACCCAGACAAGUUCUUUCCAGAUUUAGAUAUGUAGCUCAACAUUAAAAUCGCAACUUCGUGAGAUUCUAAACCUGAAGGGAGAGCACUACGUAGCGUUCCUAUUUGAUAGCUCUCUUUGUCAUAUCUCAUUUGAUAGCUACAUCCAUGCCGGUGCUAAAUGCUUUUUACUUGGUUGCGCUGCUGAAAUUGAGCUGAAUUACACUUCUACAACUUUGUAGCUAUAUGUGAGCCUCCCACUAAUUUUUUGACAGUUGCUUCGUUAGGUACACUCAUCAUUCAUGGUUUUUUAUUACAGUUUCUAAGCAUACAUGAUAUGCUUACCAACAGGUUCGUGGUAAUACUGUCUUCAAACAUUUCAAAGCUUAAGACAUGGCAAACUGAUGAGUUGGAAAACUUUAUGAUGCUAUCACCAAUUCAUUUUAAGCAUACAUAUAUAGCAGUUCUUAAUUCUUGGUGAUCAAAAUGCGGAUGAUUUAAGGUACUAAGUGAUGUUCUAACAUAUUUUGCACUUACCUAUGUUGUUUUACAUAUGCCCAUUAUUUUCUAUUCAUGUUCAUAUAACAAAAUCUCAUCGAAAUAUUGGCAAGAAAUUCCCGCAGCAACGCGUUUGGUCAAUGGUAUACCUUCUGGGGGUUCUUCUUUGCAACUUUGAUUGGGAAGACCAGCAUCAAGACUCGUAUUCAGGUCUGUUCUAUACAUUUUUUAUCAACUAAUCCUUAUUUUAGUUGUUUUUUAAGGUACUCCGGUCAUAGACUAUUGUAGUACAAGGUUCAGAGGUCCAACUUAUUUAAUUUCAUAUGCACACUUGAUACUGUUAUAGUUGCUUUUAGCCAUGAAGAUUGUGAUAACUAUAGUCUUCAGAUCUAAAUUGUAGUUCUAUGACGAAGUUAUUGUGUAGCUGUCAAUUCCUUGUGGUUUCGAGCCGUUUUAGAGAAAGUUAGAAGCCAUUCAUGCCAACAAUACAUAUCGUAUUUAUCUAGUUCUAUUUGCUGGAAAGGACCUUAUUUCACCAGACUUAUUCAUCUGUGUACUGUACAAUGUGCAUGUUCAUCUCUUUUUUGUUUUCUGUAUAUCACAGUUAUUCCUUUGGCUGUUUUUAGUUGAAAUCUGUUUCAACAUUUGAAGUACUUAAUACUUACAAUUUUUUUUCCUUUUAGGUGGAUGAAUCUUCCCAAGCCUAAGAGCUUGCUGGUACUCUGUUUGGCAGCUUCUUCCCAUGCUGAGAAGACCAUGGUGCUACUCCGACCAAGGAGAAUCAUUUAGGAAUGUAUUUUCUGACUGUUCAGCUUUGUUUGUCUUUUGGAGGGGCUAAAUGGAGCAGCUCUUGUUCUUUUUAAGUUUUUGGGAACCAUGAGUUGGAAUAUCAUUUUGUGAACAAUCAAAGAUAUUGCAAUGAAUGUGAUCUUAUUUACUCGGCUGUGCAUAUUGCUGUGCAGAAAUAUGAAUGGAAUCAAUUUGUAUUUUAGCUGAAUUUUGAAUGAUUUAAUGUAAUACCUACCGAAUUUGCUG